AGGGUUAAGCUGUUCCGCUAUAGUGUGAACUUGGUACGCUUCUUUUUCCACCGGAGUCUUGCUCCACCGGAAAAAGAAGAGUGGCGAAAGGGUGAGUAACACGUGGGUAACCUGCCCAUCAGAAGGGGAUAACACUUGGAAACAGGUGCUAAUACCGUAUAACAAUCGAAACCGCAGGGUUUUGAUUUGAAAGGCGCUUUCGGGUGUCGCUGAUGGAUGGACCCGCGGUGCAUUAGCUAGUUGGUGAGGUAACGGCUCACCAAGGCCACGAUGCAUAGCCAACCUGAGAGGGUGAUCGGCCACAUUGGGACUGAGACACGGCCCAAACUCCUACGGGAGGCAGCAGUAGGGAAUCUUCGGCAAUGGACGAAAGUCUGACCGAGCAACGCCGCGUGAGUGAAGAAGGUUUUCGGAUCGUAAAACUCUGUUGUUAGAGAAGAACAAGGAUGAGAGUAACUGUUCAUCCCUUGACGGUAUCUAACCAGAAAGCCACGGCUAACUACGUGCCAGCAGCCGCGGUAAUACGUAGGUGGCAAGCGUUGUCCGGAUUUAUUGGGCGUAAAGCGAGCGCAGGCGGUUUCUUAAGUCUGAUGUGAAAGCCCCCGGCUCAACCGGGGAGGGUCAUUGGAAACUGGGAGACUUGAGUGCAGAAGAGGAGAGUGGAAUUCCAUGUGUAGCGGUGAAAUGCGUAGAUAUAUGGAGGAACACCAGUGGCGAAAGCGGCUCUCUGGUCUGUAACUGACGCUGAGGCUCGAAAGCGUGGGGAGCAAACAGGAUUAGAUACCCUGGUAGUCCACGCCGUAACGAUGAGUGCUAAGUGUUGGGAGGGUUUCCGCCCUUCAGUGCUGCAGCUACGCAUAAGCACUCCGCCUGGGGAGUACGACCGCAGGUUGAAACUCAAAGGAAUUGACGGGGCCCGCACAAGCGGUGGAGCAUGUGGUUUAAUUCGAAGCAACGCGAGAACCUUACCAGGUCUGACAUCCCUUUGAUCACUCUAGAG
rnacentral:rRNA from 1 species